CGUAGGGGGCGAGCGUUGUCCGGAAUCAUUGGGCGUAAAGAGCUCGUAGGCGGCUCAGUAAGUCGGGUGUGAAACCCCCAGGCUCAACCUGGGGACGCCACCCGAUACUGCUGUGGCUAGAGUCCAGUAGGGGAGUGUGGAAUUCCCGGUGUAGCGGUGAAAUGCGCAGAUAUCGGGAGGAACACCAGCGGCGAAGGCGGCACUCUGGGCUGGAACUGACGCUGAGGAGCGAAAGCGUGGGUAGCAAACAGGAUUAGAUACCCUGGUAGUCCACGCCGUAAACGUUGGGCACUAGGUGUGGGGACCCUCCAACGGUUUCCGUGCCGUAGCUAACGCAUUAAGUGCCCCGCCUGGGGAGUACGGCCGCAAGGCUA
rnacentral:rRNA from 1 species